CGCGUAGGCGGUUUGCUCAGUCAGAUGUGAAAGCCCUCGGCUUAACCGGGGACGUGCAUUUGAAACUGGCAGACUUGAGUAUUGGAGGGGGUGGUGGAAGUUCCCGGUGUAGAGGUGAAAUUCGUAGAUAUCGGGAGGAAUACCGGUGGCGAAGGCGACCACCUGGCCAAAUACUGACGCUGAGGUGCGAAAGCGUGGGGAGCAAACAG
rnacentral:rRNA from 1 species